UGUGGUUCAAAAUUGUAGAGUACUAGCCUCAAGCACCAAAUCUCAAAGACAGUGCCCAGGCCCUGAGAUCAAGUCCCUGACUGUCAAAAAAUAAAAAUAAAAAAAAAUAAAAUCGAAAUACAUUAAUCAUGUUCCUAGAUACCCUUCAAGCAGUUCUUUUUCCUGGUAUUGGUGACUCAGCUUGACCUCAUAAAUCUGUAGUAGAAGUCCGCUUCUGCUAUAUUGGGCUUCUCAGUGUCCAAAGACUAUUUGUUUCUUUCUGGCUCAGAGGUUAUGCUUAACCAUUUUCUUCUUUCUGUUAUGUUUGGUUUUUCUAUCUUCUAG